rnacentral:lncRNA from 1 species
UCUUAUCUUGGCUACUUGGAAGAUGGAAACGCAGUUACUAUUACUGUUGUUUGGUAUUUGGACAUAUCUUCUGAGAGUGAGAUGGGAACAGACAAAUUCAGGGAGAUGGGAACAGACAUAUUCAGUGAAGGUUGGCUGCGUUUAAACUAUUGUGCUCAAGUUGGAAACAAAUGCCUUUUCUUAGGAACUUGGCAGAAGCUAUACAUAUGCAAAUAGAGGUUCAGACACAGCUCCAUGAACAACUAUAGGUGCCUUCUUUGUUCAUGUUUUCGAGCUCUAAUUGGAUGAUGCUGUUGUCGGCGUAUAUUUUUUAUGGUAGGAGCAUUUUUUUCUAGCUUCACAAUAAUUACUGUGCUUUGUGUAGGUAUGAACCCAAAUCAAUAUUUAAAUGGGUGCUAAAUGUUUUUGCAGCAUGGUGGACUUUCUAAUCUGGUCAUAUGUAGUUCGUGUAUAGUAUGGUUUUUUCCCUGUAGUGUGAGAUGUACAUAUAAUGUUCUGUUUGAGGUAUUAUCUAAGAAAAGAUAUAUGUUACCUUACUUGAUUAUAAGCCCAAUGGGUGUAGUUUUUAUUCAGAGUUUACAAGGUUUUACCUUUAUUCUAUGGGUCAUGGUUGAUAUAAUUUCGGUGUUGUGGGUGUAAUCUGUGUCUGUGCCUUUCCUUUUACCGUACUAGGUUAUAGAAAGAAUCAAGAUACUUCACCAAUAGUACCCAACGGGGUAGUUCCUAAGUAUGUUCGUAUUCUCAAAAAAAAGUUCCUAGGUAUGUUCUAAAUCUGAAAAAUGCAUUGCUGGGCGAGGUUGAUCGGUGUACUGGUUUUUCCGGUUCUUGAUCAGUUCUUUGGAGGCCUUGGGCAUGCUUCUUUUUAUAUUUGCAUGGUCUUUUUUCCUCUUUGCUGUUUUCUCUCUUUAGUGUUUCUUUGAUGUUCCUUUCUCGCACCUUUGAUGUUCUGCCUUGGGUGGCCUCUGUCUUGGUUUUACUUUAUUCAUUUUGCCCCAUGUUUACUUUCUAAUGUGUUUUUUGGUUUUCUUCCUUGAUCUGCUAUUUCCUUUGGUGAUCCUUCUUCAUUUAAACAAGUCCACAACUCGAUUGAUUAUAAGCUUCUUUUGUUGCAGCAGUUUAUUUUUUUUCAUCAUCAAGAUUUCUCCAGUUAGUAUUUCUGUUUCGGUGUGCUGUGUGCUUCUUGCCGACGGACCUCCCAUUGCUUAUGUCCUACCAGUAGAGCCAUGCCUCCUUGUCCUGUCUGUCAAAAGCUCGGUACAACCAGUAGCGAGGCACCUCCCUGUGGCGCUGUUCGUUGAAAGCUUUCUUUCUCUUUGUCACAAAUGUCUUCUCAUUAUAUCUGUCCAAUUGAUGAUCCACUAGAUUUGCAGAAAAGUUAUUGGCAGUUGUUGUUCUUCUCUACAUUAGUUUCUGAUGCUAGCAUGCUAAGGUUGAGUUCUUUGGGCUCCAAAUAUAUCUGACCUCUGCUGCUUGUGCUCUCUGGGAGUGGUUUUAAAUGCAUGACCUGUUCAGUUCUUGGUUUAAUAGACCAUUCCUGAUCCUUGCUUUAUUAGGUACGAUAGUUUAUUUGUUUGCUAGCAGUAAUGAAUAUGAAUAUAUAAAUCUCGAGUGUGAGACGCAGACAUGCUAAGACUGUUUGCUUUGAUAAUUUCUGCAGAAAUCGUGCUGCUGCUGUGUGGGUUCCAAACGGUUUGGGAUAAACAAUGUAUAAGUUUACAAAAAGGGUGUGUUUGGAUGGCUAUGAAGCACAUUUGAGAAGUAAGAUCUCUUUUCUACUUUCAUGAGUUGCAUGUUGGAGCUUAUUUUCAUGUACGGUCUUGUUAUUUAAUUAUUCUCCUUCUGCCUCCACCCUGUAAUGGCCGAUACAUGAACUCACAGAAAAACAUUAGGUUCUAUGCCAAGCUGUUGGUACCAUAUAUAUAUACUGGAAGUGGAGUGGUGAUAGUUGAAUGUUUUGCUUCCCUUUGUAGGAACACCGACAUCGCUAGCAGGAGAAAGUAUGUGAGGUUGGUAGAGUCAGUCAAGAAAUAAUGGCGGUACAGUGCACACAUUUCUUACUGCACGCUCUUUAUUCAUAGAUGCUCAUUUCACACUAUGGUCAAUGAGAAUUUUGAACUUCAAUAAACUGUCACACUGUUCUGGACAUGAGGUCUAACAAAAACUAUAGUUCAAUGUAGUGUUUUUCUCGCUUCUUGAUCGAUGUGGCAGAGGCCAUGGACUGCUUGCAAAAUUGUUUUUCCAUCUCUACUAUUUUCUGCCUUUGGAACUACUUAAAUUGAUUUCCUCGUGUUGGUCAUUGUUCUCACUUGGGUGGCCUCUGUCCUUAUUUUUCGCGAAUACGCAAGCGGUGUAUCAUUUUAUUGAUAGGUAGGAGAACAAGAGUUACAACUUACAAGGUGGUAGAUACAUAGCUCGUACACCGGAGGGCGAGGAUGGAUCUACAAUGAGCAGAAGAAGCCGGGGUGCUCAGCCCAAACACAAACAGGUGCAGAGGCAUACACACCUUAUGUCUGUUCACGGGGCAGAUCCGGCUGCCACAUCUUUCCGCCGUGCCAGAGGAAGUCGCGGAUCACCCGGUUGGCUCUCAAGUGGUGGUGUUCAAAGCUACCCCUGAGAAGAUGUGCAUGGGCAUGGCGGAGAGGACAUGACGGACAAGGGCAAGCCUAACACUGGCUACAACUUGGACUCGGCAAACUACAUCAACACGCAUGUAUAGGAGUUUGGAAUAUCCAACAUUUUCUGCUUUUUAUUUACUUCAUCCAAUAUCUGGGAACAAAAUGUGCUUUUAAAUUUGAUCCCCCGUGUGACUUAAUACUUUGAAAUAAUUUUUCAUUACCUAUACUUCUUUAUUAGUUUUAGUUUUGUUCUCUAUACAAUUAGCACAAUUUAUUUGUUAUUUACACUAGCAACUUCAGUUCUGCCUUCCCCAAUACAAAUAAUCCAGGAAGGCGAUUUGCUUUCGUU